UCUCGUUAGAAACGUAUAGGCGAAAACCUCAUCGAAAACGGAGUUUCGAGCGAAAAGUUAUGCAAGUUUUAGUGUUUAGGGGUAAAAUGGGUACCCAAACCGGGUCAAACCCGACCCAACUCGGGUUUUUACCCAUUGAAACACGAUUUUGAGUCAUUUUUCUGCCAUUUUCAGUUCCUCACCAUCCCUAUGGGAGAUUUUCACAUACAUGAUCAAUCUUGAUCAAGUUUUGAAAAAUAAAUCAAGAUUUUGAGUGUUCUUGAAGUAUCAAGUCUAGUAAUCAAGGGGUAUAAUUGAAGGUUUUAGAGGCCUGAGGAUGGUGUAAUUUCAUCACAAAAAAGAGGAAUUUUAUCGCAACAUUCGGUUACAGCAUAAGCAUGACUCGUAUCACUUUGGUAAUGGCUUUGUGCCUUUGACCAUGUAGAGCAUGACUCGUAUCACUUUGGUAUUGGCUUCGGGCUAGGUGAUAAGCAUCCAGAGUAAACAGGCUUUGUUGGAGGACUUAUAGUAGUUGACACUACUACGUUUUUACUUGGUAUACAUAUAUGUAUAUGGAUUAUAAAUUCCUGGGUAGUUAUGUGUUUAUACAACUAGUUAUGAAACUUUGUAAAAACUCUUUUAGUUGGUUUGUAUCCAUGCUUUUGUAGACCA